rnacentral:lncRNA from 1 species
AUUGGCGCGGAGGAGAGGGGAGGUGUUAAAACAAUGGGGCCGGGCUUGCGAGCGCUGUUGCAUGCUAAUCAGCCCGGCCUCCUUCCUUCCUUCCCUCCCUCCUUCCCUCCGCCUGCCUGCCGCGAUCCCUCCUUCCCGCCGGCCGCAUGGCAAGCCCAACACUCCCAGGCCCCUCCGCAACGUGCAGCCCGCAGCUGGCCGAGCGAUGGGGAACACGCAGCCAGAAGGACACUGCCCGGCGCACCAGCUAAGCUCCAGGUGAAGCCACCGCUCCGCUCCCGAACCUUCCGUGGGCUGCACGACAGCACUCGGCGAAAUUACAUUAUAUGCGUCUCUGUGUAACCUCCCGUUACAUUUAACAAGUGUUAUUUCAAACGGCACGUGCCUGUUUUAUGGCAGGAUUCGUGCGGGUAGGCAAACAGUGGCCGGGGAGGUUUGGGCCUGAGGUAAGCGGCACGGUAAGGCAGGUGAGGUGCUAUUUAAACGAGGUCUGAGCGUGCGGCUAGGCGGUAGUAAGAACGUUCAAAUUUUGUUAUUCCAAGUCUGUCGUUGAGCGUUCUUGAUGAAUUGUCC